GUGAGGAAUUUUCCGCAAUGGGCGAAAGCCUGACGGAGCAAUGCCGCGUGAAGGAUGAAGGCCUAUGGGUUGUAAACUUCUUUUCUCAGAAAAGAAUUAUGACGGUAUCUGAGGAAUAAGCAUCGGCUAACUCUGUGCCACCAGCCGCGGUAAGACAGAGGAUGCAAUCGUUAUCCGGAAUGAUUGGGCGUAAAGCGUCUGUAGGUUGUUUAAAAAGUAUUCUGUCAAAGAUUAGGGCUUAACCCUAGAUAGGCAGAAUAAACUUUUAAGCUAGAGUUUGGUAGAGGCAGAGGGAAUUCCCGGUGGAGCGGUGAAAUGCGUAGAUAUCGGGAGGAACACCAAAGGCGAAGGCACUCUGCUGGGCCAAUACUAACACUGAGAGACGAAAGCGAGGGGAGCAAAUGGGAUUAGAUACCCUGGUAGUCC
rnacentral:rRNA from 1 species